rnacentral:ncRNA from 2 species
AAAACGGCGCUUUUCAGCGCCGUCCAAAAUCAGGGAAACGAUUUUU